rnacentral:ncRNA from 19 species
CUUUUCGAGACAAUGGUAUAUCAUACCGAUCGAGCAAGGCGCCAUGCGCUGACCUCCCCGCUUCUCCUCCCUGAGCGGGUGCCUGUCGUUUUUUUUCGAUUAGGCUGUUUGACCCGCCGUUAAAGCGGCGGGUUUUUUUAUGGGCGGCCGGAAAAGCCGUCUGGCCU